rnacentral:rRNA from 1 species
AGAUUGAACGCUGGCGGCAUGCCUAACACAUGCAAGUCGAACGGGAGUAGCAAUACUCUAGUGGCGGACGGGUGAGGAAUACGUAGGAAUUUGCCCUUAAGUGGGGGAUAACCCGGGGAAACCCGGAUUAAUACCGCAUGACCUCGAAAGAGCAAAGUGGGGGAUCGCAAGACCUCACGCUUUUGGAGAAGCCUACGUCGGAUUAGCUAGUUGGUGAGGUAAUGGCUCACCAAGGCGACGAUCCGUAACUGGUCUGAGAGGAUGAUCAGUCACACCGGAACUGAGACACGGUCCGGACUCCUACGGGAGGCAGCAGUGGGGAAUAUUGGACAAUGGGCGCAAGCCUGAUCCAGCAAUGCCGCGUGUGUGAAGAAGGCCUCGGGUUCGUAAAGACACUUAACGUUA